ACCGCCCGGGCCGGACGCCGGGGGGCAGGAGCCGCCAGACGUGCGCAUCUCUCCGGUUCCUGGGCGCGCCGUGGGCCCCGGGAGCCCGGGUUGGCGCGCGGCGAAGGGGCCGGAAGCCUGGGCAUCCCUCGCGCUCACCAGCCCCCUCCUUCUCCCGCGGGGGCGCCGGCAAACCUUGCGGCUGCGCUUUCCCUGGACAACAGGCCGAGGGCAGGGUGAGCCCCGCUCGGUUUGUGUGGGAGUCUCCGGGCCCCCACCCACAGGCCCAAGUGGACACGCGGGGUCCGAGCGCGGCUGCAGCUCGCUGGGCCCCUGAUGGGCGUCCCCCGAGCUCCUCUACUGAGACACUCAAACAGGAACAUUCUUUCAGGAAGUGCAUACGAAUAAUUAAGAGGCCUCAGCUUGAAAAUCACCCAAUUCUCCAAGGCACUGGAGGGGCCGGUUGAGCUCUGAUCUUCCCAUCAAUGCACACCCUCCUGCAGUGAAGACCGUGGCCCCUGCUUCCCUCCUCCCUGGGUCUUCUUAUUCAGGAUGGCUGCUCAGCUGCUCUGGCCAAUGUAGCCAGUCCCGACAGUUCUGCCCCCUUGGCCGUUGACUCCUAUGAUCUGGAGCUCCUUCAAGGCAAGGUCUACAUCUUGCUCACCAUCAUCCCAUUGCUGAGCCAAGUACACUUAGGAAUCCUUCAGAUUAAGUUUUUGGUCCUGUUCAACAAACAUCUGCUAUAUUCUAUGGAAUAAUUGAAUCCAGGUCUCGGGACCUGCCCCAGGGUGUUCUCUUUACUGAAAUAUAUUAAAAUAUGGUAAUUGUAGCUCA